rnacentral:rRNA from 1 species
UUACGGGGGGCAGCAGAGGGGAAUAUUGCACAAUGGGGGAAACCCUGAUGCAGCGACGCCGCGUGAGCGAAGAAGUAUUUCGGUAUGUAAAGCUCUAUCAGCAGGGAAGAAAAUGACGGUACCUGACUAAGAAGCCCCGGCUAACUACGUGCCAGCAGCCGCGGUAAUACGUAGGGGGCAAGCGUUAUCCGGAUUUACUGGGUGUAAAGGGAGCGUAGACGGCAUGGCAAGCCAGAUGUGAAAGCCCGGGGCUCAACCCCGGGACUGCAUUUGGAACUGUCAGGCUAGAGUGUCGGAGAGGUAAGCGGAAUUCCUAGUGUAGCAGUGAAAUGCGUAGAUAUUAGGAGGAACACCAGUGGCGAAGGCGGCUUACUGGACGAUGACUGACGUUGAGGCUCGAAAGCGUGGGGAGCAAACAGGAUUAGAUACCCCAGUAG